UACGGGGGGGGCAAGCGUUGUUCGGAAUUACUGGGCGUAAAGGGCUCGUAGGUUGCCAACUAAGUCGGACGUGAAAUCCCUCAGCUUAACUGGGGAACUGCGUCCGAUACUGGAUGGCUUGAGUUUGGGAGAGGGAUGCGGAAUUCCAGGUGUAGCGGUGAAAUGCGUAGAUAUCUGGAGGAACACCGGUGGCGAAGGCGGGUCUCUGGGCCGUAACUGACGCUGAGGAGCGAAAGCAUGGGGAGCGAACAGG
rnacentral:rRNA from 1 species